AAAAAUAGCCAGAGCAAAAUAAUAGCCAGCUACUAGUGAUGGGGCUGAUGAAGAACACAAGGGCAUUUUGCUUGCUAGCUCUUAUUGUCAUGUCCACCACUUCCUUGUCCUGCCAUGCAGCAGGUACAAUGGACCUUGGACCUAUUCUUGGGUGUGUAAAGAUGAAAAAAGCCUGCUCAGUUAAUGGGUGCUUGCGGCAAUGUGCCUCUCAUGGUUGGGAUACCCACAGAUGCAUUUGCACCGAUGCUGACCAUUGUUGUCACUACGUGGAGGCAAUGGCACCAAAUUGAUAGUAUCUUGCUGGAGGCCAUGCCGAUGGGAUCGCGGUGGCGCUUGCUGGAGCCCAUGCCCAUGCAGAUGGGAUCGCGUGGUCGCUAAGGCCAAGUCGAUGUUUCUUUUUUUUUUUUUUGAAUAAAAGGGGUUUCCCCCCUGCUCCAUUUUAUUGAAGCAACGAACCCAACAGGUUUUACAGCGGAA